rnacentral:tRNA from 1 species
GGGGGCGGUUGCAGGGCUGGUGCCGGCCGCGGUCUUCAAAACCGUCGUGCGACCUGGAAACAGGCCGCUGGUGGGUUCGAUUCCCAUACGCUCCCG